rnacentral:rRNA from 2 species
CUGGCUCAGGAUGAACGCUGGCGGCGUGCUUAACA